rnacentral:rRNA from 1 species
CCCUUAGAUGUUCUGGGCCGCACGCGUGCUACACUGAUGCAUUCAACGAGUCUAAAACCUGGUCUGAUAGGGCUGGGUAAUCUUUUGGAAGUGCAUCGUGAUUGGGAUAGAUGAUUGCAAUUCUUCAUCUUCAACGAGGAAUGCCUAGUAAACGCAAGUCAUCAGCUUGCAUUGAUUACGUCCCUGCCCUUUGUACACACCGCCCGUCGCUCCUACCGAUUGAAUGAUCCGAUGAAUACCAUGGAUUGAGAGUACGAAUAGGUUCGCUUAUUUCUGCUGCUCGAGAAGUGGAGUAAAUCUUAUCAUUUAGAGGAAGGAGAAGUCGUAACA